GGUUGUGGCUCAGUGGUACGGUGCUUGCCUAGCAUGCGUGAGGCACUGGAUUUGAUCCCCAGAACCA
rnacentral:tRNA from 1 species